ensembl:lncRNA
UUUUAAUAGCUGUAUAAUAAUAUCACUGUAUGCAUGUACAAUAACUUAUUUAACAGAUCCCCAACCAAUCAACAUUUUGCUAUUUUAAAAAUUCUGUGAGGAAUAUUAUUGUGUGUUAUAAAUUAUGUCUAUAUUCUUUCACAUACAUUUAAGUAUAUUCAUAGCAUAAUGUCCUAAGAAUGCAGUUUCAAGGUCAAUGUGUGUGUGUGUGAGUAUAAAUAAAUAAAUGUAUUGGUAGGUAUUUCCAAAUUAUCCUCAUUAUUCUCCAUGGCAGUUGUACUAGUUUGUACCCCCUUUAUUUUAUUUUAGUUAUUUAAUUAAUUAAUUUGUUUAUUUAUUUAGUCUUUUUAGGGCUGCACCACUCAUGGCAUAUGGAGGUUCCCAGGCUAGGAGUCGAAUUGAGCUGUAGCUGCUGGCCUACGCCACAGCCACGGCAACGCGGGAUCUGAGCUGCGUCUGUGACCUAUACCACAGCUCAUGGCAACCGCCAGAUACUUAGCACACUAAGGGAGGCCAGGGAUUGAACCUGCGUCCUAAUGGAUACUAGUCAGGUUUGUUAACCACUGAGCCACGAUGGGAACUCCUCAUUAUAUUUUUGAAGGAAAUGGAUCUUUGUUAAGCUAAAAAAAAAUCCCACAAAACUUAAAUUAUGUCUUUUAACAAACAGUAUAUAAGAUUAUCUCAGAGUUUCUUAUAUUUAAGUUACAAUAUGUUUUAGAAACUUCUUGAAGCAUAAAUUGAAGAGAGGAUUGAAGAUUGUCUCUACUAAUCUGUAGUAAAUCUACAUUUAGUGAUGCAUUAAAAAUAAUUUUUACAUAUUUGGAAAAACAUAGUUUUGGUUUUACUAUCGGUGAAUACUUGGACAGUCUUUAAAUAUGGGGAUUAUUUGAGAUACUACAUAUGUAGUUGUUCAAAAAUUUAUGGGGUUUUUUUGGUAUCCACCAUAGUGUUUUUAAUUAAAACUCUUUUUAGGUUUUUCAUUUACGCAGUAUCAUUGGUUUGUAUUGUGUUAAUCAUUUCAGAAACUAAAAUGAAGCAAUGAGACAUUGAGCACUGGGGUUUUUUUGUGUGUUUUUAAAAACAUUCUAUACUUCACCCCCACACCCCCCACCCCUUUUUUUUUUUUUUUUAACACUCUUUUAACUUAAAGCUACUAAACAGAUUUUUAUUUUAAUCUUUGGAACAAAAAAUGUUCUCUUGGGCUGAUACCAGUACUUUCUAUGCCAAGUUACAGACCGGAAUCUAUUUUUAUAGGCCAAGAUACAAACCUCUGAAAACCAGAGUUUAUAAUGGAAACAUUGACAGGCCCUUAACUAUCACAGCACACAUGGCACUGCUGAAAUCAUAAGGUACAAGGCACAAGAUUUCACAAGCAGGGUGAGCAUUGAAUUUUUCAGCAAUUGUAUUGUCAGAUGCCUUUCAAGUAGAAUUUAGUUAAGUCUCACUAAAGGCACCAUAAAAGCACAGUGUAUGGGUUGACUCCUGCUCUCUGAACACUUGUACCCAGACACACAGAUGCUGAGAAGCACUGAAAUAAACCUGUUGGGAGAUGGCCUUGUAAAUGGCUUUGGUUGGAGAGAAGUAUGUGAAUUUCCUGAGCGCUAGAUUUAGUUUAUGUCUCAACCUUGAAAAUCCUGCCUGUUUUUGCAUGUAGGUCACUACACAUAUUUCUGGGUAUUAUUACAGGACAGGUAGAACUCAUCAGCUAUGUCUUCGUUUUAAUAAUAUCACUGAAGAAAGCUUAAACAUUAUGUUUUUACACAAACAAGUUGGAUAUUAAAACUUAGCAUUUACUGUUCUUUGACGGAUCCUA